GCCCCAUUCACAAAUCUGUGCCCCCAUUCACACAUCUGUGCCCCAUUCACACACACAUCGCAUUCCCAUUCACAAAUCUGUGCCCCAUUCACACACACCUGUGCCCCAUUCACAAAUCUGUGCCCCCAUUCACAAAUCUGUGCCCCCAUUCACACACACGUCUGUGUUCCAUUCACAAAUCUGUGCCCCAUUCACACAUCACAUUCCCAUUCACACACUUGUGACCCAUUCACACACACAUCACAUUCCCAUUCACAAAUCUGUGACCCCAUUCACACAUAUCUGUGUUCCACUCGCACACCUGUGCCCCAUUCACACACACAUCUGUGUUCCAUUCACACACCUGUGCCCCAUUCACACACACAUCUGUGCCCCAUUUGCACACUCAUUAUCCUCUUUGCACACCUGUGCCCCCUUUGCACACUCUCUCCCCCUUGCACACUCAUUCCCUUUCCACACUCUCUCUUUGCACACUAGUGCCCCCUUUCCACACUCAUUUCCCCUUUCCACACUCAUCCCCCCUUGCACGCUCGUUCCCUUUCUUGCACACUCAUUCCCUCCUUUCUUGCACACUCAUUCCCCACCUUGCACACUCACUUCCCUUUCCACACUCAUCCCUUUCCACACUCAUUUCCCCUUUGCACACUCCAUCCCCUUUCCACACUCACCCCCCUUCGCACGCUCAUUUCCCCUUCACACACCCACUCCCCCUUGCACACUCAUUUCCUUUCCACACUCACUCCCCCUUCACACACUCAUUCCCUUUGCACACUCUCCCCCCCUUUGCACACUCAUUUCCUUUCCACACUCUCAGCCCCUUCACACACUCGUGUCCCUUUGCACACUCGUUUCCACACUCACCCCCCUUUGCACGCUUGUGUCCCCUUUGCACACUCACCCCUUCUUCACACGCUCAUUCCCUUUCCACACUCGCUCCCCGCUUCGCACACCCGUGCCCCCUUUGCACGCCCGCGUGCCCCCCGUCGCACACGCACCGGUGAGGAUGGACUGGUCGACGCGCAGCGUGGUGGAUUUGAUGGAGAUGAUGCGGAUGUCGGCCGGCACCUUGUCCCCCACUGCACACACAGCGCGUUACUGGGAGCACUGGGACGGACUGGGAGGGACUGGGGG
rnacentral:lncRNA from 1 species